rnacentral:rRNA from 1 species
GUCUAUGGCCAUACCACCCUAAAUGUGCCCAAUCUUGUAAGCUAAGCAGGGUCAGGCCUGGUUAGUACUUGGACAGGAGACAGUUGAAUAAAAAUGUAGAGUGACUGUAACA